AUUGAACGCUGGCGGCAUGCCUUACACAUGCAAGUCGAACGGUAACGCGGGGCAACCUGGCGACGAGUGGCGAACGGGUGAGUAAUAUAUCGGAACGUGCCCAGUAGUGGGGGAUAGCCCGGCGAAAGCCGGAUUAAUACCGCAUGAGACCUGAGGGUGAAAGCGGGGGAUCGCAAGACCUCGCGCUAUUGGAGCGGCCGAUAUCAGAUUAGCUAGUUGGUGGGGUAAAGGCCCACCAAGGCAACGAUCUGUAGUUGGUCUGAGAGGACGACCAGCCACACUGGGACUGAGACACGGCCCAGACUCCUACGGGAGGCAGCAGUGGGGAAUUUUGGACAAUGGGCGCAAGCCUGAUCCAGCAAUGCCGCGUGCAGGAAGAAGGCC
rnacentral:rRNA from 1 species